rnacentral:rRNA from 1 species
UACGUAGGCAGCGAGCGUUGUUCGGAAUUACUGGGCGUAAAGAGUGUGUAGGCGGCGCUCUAAGUUCGGUGUGAAAUCUCUCGGCUUAACUGGGAGGGUGCGCCGGAAACUGGAGUGCUCGAACGUGGGAGAGGAAAGCGGAAUUCCUGGUGUAGCGGUGAAAUGCGUAGAUAUCAGGAGGAACACCUGCGGUGUAGACGGCUUUCUGGACCGUAACUGACGCUGAGACACGAAAGCGUGGGUAGCAAACAGG